rnacentral:rRNA from 1 species
UACGUAGGUGGCAAGCGUUGUCCGGAAUUAUUGGGCGUAAAGCGCGCGCAGGUGGUUCCUUAAGUCUGAUGUGAAAGCCCACGGCUCAACCGUGGAGGGUCAUUGGAAACUGGGGAACUUGAGUGCAGAAGAGGAAAGUGGAAUUCCAAGUGUAGCGGUGAAAUGCGUAGAGAUUUGGAGGAACACCAGUGGCGAAGGCGACUUUCUGGUCUGUAACUGACACUGAGGCGCGAAAGCGUGGGGAUCAAACAGGAGUUAAGAA